AGCAGUAGCCGCGGGAAUACGAAGGGUGCAAGCGUUACUCGGAAUUACUGGGCGUAAAGCGUGCGUAGGCGGCUUUUUAAGUCGGAUGUGAAAUCCCUGAGCUUAACUUAGGAAUUGCAUUCGAUACUGGGAAGCUAGAGUAUGGGAGAGGAUGGUAGAAUUCCAGGUGUAGCGGUGAAAUGCGUAGAGAUCUGGAGGAAUACCGAUGGCGAAGGCAGCCAUCUGGCCUAAUACUGACGCUGAGGUACGAAAGCAUGGGGAGCAAACAGGAUUAGAUACCCCCGUAGUCCCUGUCUCUUAUAC
rnacentral:rRNA from 1 species